rnacentral:rRNA from 1 species
UACGAAGGGUGCAAACGUUGCUCGGAGUCAUUGGGCGUAAAGCGCACGUAGGCGGCGCAGUAAGUCGGACGUGAAAUCUCUCGGCUCAACCGAGGACGUGCAUCCGAAACUGUGAGGCUCGAGUAUGGAAGAGGGUCGCAGAAUUCCCGGUGUAGAGGUGAAAUUCGUAGAUAUCGGGAGGAAUACCAGUGGCGAAGGCGGCGACCUGGGCCAAUACUGACGCUGAGGUGCGAAAGCGUGGGGAGCAAACAGG